rnacentral:piRNA from 1 species
UAAUAUUUUGAGCAAUCAGAAAAAAAAUUGC